AGCAUUGCAGAGCUGACAGAUCCUGCCCCAGCUUCUAGCCCUCCCCCUGCAUGGAGGCCCCUCCCCUGGUUCACGCCUUCCUGAGCUUGGAAACCAGAAACUCCAGACUCCCUGCCAGGCACAGCCCAGUGGCGUCUUCUCCUCCUCUUCAAUGGCAUGACUAAUCCAAGAGCUACGGAUAGUCUUAGUUCAUGUGCUUGGGGUUGGUCUAAUCCAAAAUAGGAAAGUCUAUGGUAGCUGCUUCCCAGCUAUUUUGUACUGGGGACAAUCUGGUCCUGUCUCACUCAGGACGUUUGAUCUAAGCCUUCCAUACCCUCUCCACCUCAUCCCAAGUCUUAUAGGUUGCAAUGCUGAUACUUGAACCACCCGCUUUCAGAGAUUUGGGGCCACCUGGAGGUAAAGAGGUGGGGCUGAGAGGUGGUGCUGGUGCUACUCUGUGGGAACUAGUACCCACAUGAGGGAACUACCCUUUCCUGUAACCCCAGAAAAAUAGCUCCAGGCAUGGAAAUGUCUAGUGCAAACCCACAUCAAGGGUGUCUGUUCGCGUUUGAAAUUCAUCGGCACCAGAAAGAGCUAACAUGUUGGCAGUAUCUAGAAAACCAUCAACAUGAGCAUGGGACAGUUCGCUUUGCAGCUGAUCCCACCAUAGUGAGUGAGUACUUGCAGACAGAAGUUUCUUAAUCUUAAGUUGGUCCUGGGAUGGGUUGUAUGUGCAGGAAUGCUUUUAUCACUCAGCUAGAUCUGAGGUAGAGAAAGUAUAGGUGGGGCUUUAAAGGGCUUGCUUUUUUUGUAUUCUGGCUUUCGUACUCAGGCACCAGUUUCCCCCGAUUCCUUAUCCAUUUUUCUUGCUUCUGCUUUAAUGUUUAACUUGUACAUUCAUCAUUAUAGCAAAGGGCUUAUGGAAAUCUGGUUUUUCUACUUCUGCUUUAAUGAUCAGCUUACACAUUCAUCAUUACAGCGAAGAGCUUAUGGAGCUCUGAACUGCCACAAUAGGAGAGGGCGAGCUUGAGAUUUGUGUGGGAAGCCUGGCACCAAAAAUCUGAGGAAGCUCUUCAUUACAGGAUAGGCCAGGAUAAUUAACUAUACCUUUUACAUGUUUUUUUUUUUUUUUUUUUUUUAAGGGAGGACGUCUUGCUCUGUUACCUAUGCUGAAGUGCAGUGUUACAAUCAAAGUUCACUGUAGCCUUAACACCUGGGCUCAAGUGAUCCUCUUGCCUCAGCUUCCUGAGUGGCUGGAAAUGCAGACACAUGCCACCGUGCCCAGCUUCUACACUUUUUAAGAAUCACAAAAUCCACUUCCAUUCUUCAAAAAUUUAUUAUUUAUUAUUAAAAAUCUCAAACAAACACAGACAUAUGGGGAUACCAGCAUUCCC
rnacentral:lncRNA from 1 species